rnacentral:snRNA from 1 species
AGUGUCAAUUCCCUAGAAAGUG